UUAAAAAUUAUACCCAAACUCCAACUCUCGCUCUAACUCCAUCUCUCUUUUAAUUUAUCUCUUUUGAAAAAGUAUAGAAACAGUGCUCCUGCAGGUUUAAAAAUUAUAGUUAGCCUAUUUGCAGCGACUUUCUUUAAAAAAUUAUUUGUAUGUACGUUAGUUUCUUAAUAUAAAAAAAAAAGUUGGUUGUCUCUUUGUUUUUAGAUCUUGCAGUGUUGGCAUCGGAUGUGAGAUCCAAAUGAAUAAUGUGUGCCAUGCGAUGCACCUAAACCAAACCUCUCUGCGUCUUCCUUCCUCUGAUGUCUAUUUCCAAUGCACAAAGCACCUUGGCCACCAAAAAUGGUGAGCUUUCUCUAUUUCGCUCUCUUUUUUUGGUUCUCUCUGCUCAACGCAGGAAGGCCCUCUCUCGACUUUCCAUUCCUACGUCUCUCUCUCUAGCAGACGACGACUCUCUUUCUCUAACAAACUGCGACUCUUCCAGAAUUUAUAUCGCUCUCUAUCUCUGAAGGAGACCAUCAGCCUCAUCACAAUCUCGGUAGGCACCCAUCUUUUUCUUAUGCUGCAAUCUGAAAUAAAUUUUUUUUUCUUUUUUUUGGUCAUUGUGAAUGAAAAUUUCUUGAUCUAGGGUUUCUAUGUUUAUUGCAUAUAUUUAUGUAGAGUUUGUUGAAAGAUUUCCUCCAAACAAAAUUCAACAAAGAUUGCAUAUAAAAUUUAAUAAUCCGUUAUUUUUUUUUUUUUUUUUUUUUUUUUUUUUGUGAAUGAAUUUCUGAUUUUCUUAAAAAAUCUGUUUUGGUCUUUAUUUUGAGAACCGAAAAAAUAAAAAUAAAAAUUUCGAAACCCACAAAAAUCUCCAAAUCUUACAAAAUAUUGACUCAAUUCAAUAGGGAAAAAUCGAUUAACAUGGUAUUCUAUUUUUUUUUUGGGUCAUUGUGAAGGAAUUGUUGUCGAUUUAGGGUUUCUAAGUUUGUUGUGUCUAUUUAUGUAUAAUUUGUGUCAAAGUAUGUUAAAAGUUUUUUUUCGGUCUUUGCUGUGGAGAACCAACAAAAUUUAGCACAGAUUUCUUGACCGUAUAAAAAAUCCCCAAAUCUAAAAUAUCCAUUAAAUUCAAUAAGAAUUUUCAAUGAAUGUGGUGUUCUUGUUGUAAUUUUCGUUGUUCAAUAUGAUUCUAUUACUUUUUCUGCACUUGUGAUUCAUUUCUAUGUUCAUUGGCAUUUUUAUGGAUCCACUUUGAAGUUCCAUGUCAUAUAUCUUACAGUCAUUCAUGGCUUCUUAUGAAGUCAAUUUGCUGAAUCAUUUAAACGUUUUUGCAUUAUGCCCAUUCCUAUCUAUGGACAAAUUAGUGAGACGUUCAUAGUAUUACAAUAUCAUAAUUUCUGAUUAUAAGUUACCUGUGAAGUUCAAAUUUCCUGUAUUAUUGGCUGCGUUGGCUCUAUACUUUGUCUUUUAAAUCGAACUCAAUUAAUACUCUGAAUCAUGGGAAUUCUUAUUAUAAGAAAACAUUCAGAUUUAUUUUUCUAUGUUAGAAGUUGUCUUCUAUGUUGCAGGUCAGCAAACUUCAGUUCUUGCAUUUUAGUAGUUGUUGUGUCUUUGCAUCAAAAUAUGCUACAUUUCCUUUUAAAGUUUUGUACUUUUGUAACAAGAUGUGAUUAGAGUUUGAUAGAGGAAAUGAGUUAAGACAAAUAACUAUAUUCUCAAUUUCCAUAUGACACAUGUUCAUACCAGUUUGGGACGUUAGGUAUUAGAUUUUAUUUAUUUCAUUUUUUUUAUCAUUUAUCAUUAUGCCACUGUAUCGAUUUCACCUGUCUUUAAUAGGUACCACGACAUGACUAAAAUCAUUUAUGUAACUCAGCUUUAGGUCUACUUGUUAAGGAAAUAUCUUGACCAAAAAAGGAAGCCCACAAAAUAUACUUAAUUCCAUUUCAACAACACACUUUACAUUUCUCACAACAAACAAAUGGACAGCAUACUUUGAGCCACGACUUCUCUGAUCUUCAACUGUCUCCAUAAUCCAUACAGACUCUUGAAACAACAUCCUAAUCCUGAAACUUAUUACCCUCAAACUCCGUCUUAACUUUAGGCCUCAUCGAAUUUUCCUUUUCUACAAUUUCAAACUGUGUGAACCCUAUUCUUCCUAAUGCUGAACUACUGAAAUUUUCUUUAAUAAAAUUUUUUUAUAACACAUUUGAAGUUAGCAUCUUAAUUUAUUUUAUUACAUUUCAAUUUUCAAAUGAUUAUUGAAAUUAAUUGAAUGAAUAUUUUUUUUUGGUAUCUGCAAAAUAUGUUUCGCUGUCUAUCUCUCAAGGAGACCAUCAGCGUCAUCAUAAUCUCGAAUCUGAUUUGCUCUCAAGGAGACCAUCAACGUCAUCAUAAUUUUCAUAGGCAUCUAUCUCUCUUAUGCUGCACUCUGAAUUAUUUUAUUUCUUUUGUCAUUGUGAAUGUAAUUUAUUUGAUGAAUAAGAUUUAUUUGCUCUAUUGGCCAUAGUAUGUUGCAAUGACAUAUUUGAAACCUCUGAUUGCACUUGAAAAGCACAUUUUUUCAGGUCUCCAAAGAGUACUACAUCUUUAUACGUGAUUGCCUUAGAAACCAAUUCAUUGUAACAAAAAAAUUCAAAUAGUUUUAACGGUGAUUGGGUUGACUAUUGUGCUUUAGUUA